rnacentral:rRNA from 1 species
GACACGGUCCAGACUCCUACGGGAGGCAGCAGUAGGGAAUAUUGCUCAAUGGGCGCAAGCCUGRAGCAGCAACGCCGCGUGGAGGAUGAAGGUUUUAGGAUUGUAAACUCCUUUUGUAAGAGAAGAUAAUGACGGUAUCUCACGAAUAARCACCGGCUAACUCCGUGCCAGCAGCCGCGGUAAUACAGAGGGUGCAAGCGUUACUCGGAAUCACUGGGCGUAAAGAGUGCGUAGGCGGGAAGGUCAGUCAGGUGUGAAAUCCUAUGGCUUAACCAUAGAACUGCAUUUGAAACUACUAUUCUAGAGUGUGGGAGAGGUAGGUGG